ACGAUGAAGAACGCAGCGAAGUGCGAUAAGCAGUGCGAAUUGCAGAACCGUGAGUCAUCAGAUUUUUGAACGCAACUUGUGCCAACAAUGGCAACAUUGUGGCACGUCUGGUCCAGUGUCUUAUUUUCUCCUCACCCAAAUCAUAAUGCGAGAGAUGCCCUUCUCUUGCCAAGUACGAAAGCACUCUGCAGCUGCGAGCGACCUUCGGGUCGCACUCAAUGCGGUCGUCACAUUCUCGUAAUGUGAACUCAUUGAGAGCAGAGGCAGUGCGGCAAUAGCUGCCAGUGCUUAGUCAAGCCAACUUAGGUAUCUAAUCUGGGCUCAGGUGGGACUACCCGCUGAACUUAAGCAUAUCACUAAGCGGAGGAAAAGAAACUAACAAGGAUGGCCUCAGUAAUGGCGAAUGAAGCGGCCAGAGCCCAAAAUGGAAAUCACCGUGCAGAGUACGGCGAAUUGUAAUCUGGAGAGGAGCUGCUCAAACGGCGGAGGCGCAGAACAGUCUGGAAAGGCUGGCCAUAGAGGGUGAUAGCCCCGUACGUGGCGCCCCCGGCGAACGAGCACUUCAUCAAAGAGUCGGGUUGUUUGAUAUUGCAGCCCCAAGCGGGAGAUAAACUUCUUCUAAGGCCAAAUAUAUGUGGGAAACCGAUAGCGAACAAGUACUGUGAAGGAAAGAUGAAAAGCAACUUGGAAAGGAUGUUAAAAGGCCUGAAACCGUUGAGAAGGAAGCGGUAGAGAAGAAUAGUACUCGAAGGCACUGAACCGGAGCUUAGCGAAGGGGUGUGCUCAGAGUGAGGCCGGAUGGAGCGGCAACACCGCAAAGACACGUGAGAAAGUUGCUUCGGUGGAAUCUUGCGAAAGUCGGUGGAGUUGCGGCUCGAGGGGCUAAGUGCGAUCCGGUCAAAAUGGUCUUUACCAACUCGUCUUGAAACACGAACCAAGGAGUCUAACGUAUACGCGAGUGUGAAGGUGGAAAAACCGUCACGCGAAAUGAAAGUGAGUGAUGCCAAAUUAGCAGCAUCGACCGACCGAACUCUCGGGUAAGGUUUGAGUAUGAGCGUGUCCGCUAGGACCCGAAAGAUGGUGAACUAUGCCUGUGUAGGGUGAAGUCAGGGGAAACUCUGAUGGAAGCUCGUAGCGAUACUGACGUGCAAACCGUUCGUCUAACAUGGGUAUAGGGGCGAAAGACUAAUCGAACCAUCUAGUAGCUGGUUCCCUCCGAAGUUUCCCUCAGGAUAGCUGGGACAAUUGCGCAGUUUUAUUAGGUAAAGCGAAUGAUUAGAGGCCUCGGGGGCUUCUUGCCCUCGACCUAUUCUCAAACUUUAAAUUGGUAAGAACCCAGGCCUGGCUUAGUUGAGGCUCUGGGGCUCAAUGCGUGUCCUUAGUGGGCCAUUUUUGGUAAGCAGAACUGGCGAUGAGGGAUGCUCCUAACGUUGGGUUAAGGCGCCAAACUGCGCGCUCAUCAGAUACUAUAAAGGGUGUUGGUCCAUUAAGACAGCAGGACGGUGGCCAUGGAAGUUGGAAUCCGCUAAGGAGUGUGUAACAACUCACCUGCCGAAUGGACUAGCCCCGAAAAUGGAUGGCGCUUAAGCGCGCGGCCGAUACCCAACCAUCGCUGCGAGAGUGAGGCAGCGAUGAGUAGGAGGGCGUGGGCGUCGUGUCGAAGCCUAUGGCGUGAGCCUGGGUAGAACGGCGUCUAGUGCAGAUCUUGGUGGUAGUA
rnacentral:rRNA from 1 species